UGCUGCCUGCCAAUUGAGCAAUUUGGCUUCACCCCCAGAGGCACACUCCAGUGUCUCUUCAGACAGAUGGAUGCAAACGACAAAAACAACAGACAAGUUCCAGUGCUGGCCCUUUCAAGUUGACCUGCUUUCCUUGGGAAGGGGAAACUAACAAGAUUUGUUACAGGAGGCGUUUGCAAGGACAGGAGUAUCAACAUGACCAUUAAAAUGCUAUGUCACACAGUAGAAAGUAUUUGUUGACAUGCCUAGCCAUGGAAGCAUGGAAUUCAUUUACCCCAGCUCUUUACAACACUGAAAGCAGUGAAUACAGAACAUUCUGCUCUUGACAACUGAUGGACAGACCGCCUUUUGCAGUAGAUUUGUCAGUCUUAGUAUCAGGCGUUUUUUGGGUGUCUCUUUCCCCACAACAACAGCAGAAAUUGCCUGGGUUGGGAUUUCACUCACUUUUCUCAGCGAAGAAGUGCUGCCUUGAGUUGGGCAGAAGUGGAUGACACCAGCUAGGAAUACAUUGCAGAGGCACAGUGUGGGAGAUUCUCAGUGCUGCACAUGCUGCAGAUCAAGCCUAACUUUAGAGGAACACGUCUCCCUCAGCUUCCUGACACCUUUGGUCUGGCAGAAAUUUCCUUUCAAUUAAUGAACUCACAGAAGAAUCACAUCAGAAUGAGAGGAAUCCUGAACACAGGAGGCAGCAGAAUGGCAGCUUCCAGCAUGGAUACCAAGAGAACAAUUUUAGACACAAGUGGAAUGAUAGUUCAAAAUGUGAAAACGUCUGAAAACAUAAGGAAUGAUGAUGUCACAACUUCCAAAUGGGUGUACAGGUGGAUGUCAGUGGGGUUUCUUUACUAGUCUUCAGUACUGGUUUCCAGGAAAAGACACGUCUCUUUGAAAUGGAAAUAGAAGCUCUUGCUUUAAGUACAAAAAGGGAUCAAUGUGCAAUUCCAGAUGAGUAGGGGGAGGCAGAAACGCUGUCAAUGAGAAAGGAUCUCAAGGUGGCCUACCACAACAAAACACAGCUUAAGAAAAAGCCUGCAUGCAAACACGAUAAGUAAAAACACAUCACAUUGGAUAAAUAUACUGCAAUACUACUAUAACUACAGUAGGCAAGCUGCCUGUCAAGUCUUGGUAGCAGGAGCCACAAAAAAC